GGUGCUGCAUGGCUGUCGUCAGCUCGUGUCGUGAGAUGUUGGGUUAAGUCCCGCAACCGAGCGCAACCCUUGUCAUUAGUUGCUACGAAAGGGCACUCUAAUGAGACUGCCGGUGACAAACCGGAGGAAGGUGGGGAUGACGUCAAGUCCUCAUGGCCCUUAUGGGUAGGGCUUCACACGUCAUACAAUGGUCGGGACAGAGGGUCGCCAACCCGCAGGGGGAGCCAAUCCCAGAAACCCGAUCGUAGUCCGGAUUGCAGGCUGCAACUCGCCUGCAUGAAGUCGGAAUCGCUAGUAAUCGCGGAUCAGCAUGCCGCGGUCGAAUACGUUCCCGGGCCUU
rnacentral:rRNA from 2 species